rnacentral:rRNA from 1 species
GAUGAACGCUGGCGGCGUGCCUAACACAUGCAAGUCGAGCGAUUCUCUUCGGAGAAGAGCGGCGGACGGGUGAGUAACGCGUGGGUAACCUGCCCUGUACACACGGAUAACAUACCGAAAGGUAUGCUAAUACGAGAUGAUAUGCUUUUAUCGCAUGGUAGAAGUAUCAAAGCUCCGGCGGUACAGGAUGGACCCGCGUCUGAUUAGCUAGUUGGUAAGGUAACGGCUUACCAAGGCGACGAUCAGUAGCCGACCUGAGAGGGUGAUCGGCCACAUUGGAACUGAGACACGGUCCAAACUCCUACGGGAGGCAGCAGUGGGGAAUAUUGCACAAUGGGCGAAAGCCUGAUGCAGCAACGCCGCGUGAGCGAUGAAGGCCUUCGGGUCGUAAAGCUCUGUCCUCAAGGAAGAUAAUGACGGUACUUGAGGAGGAAGCCCCGGCUAACUACGUGCCAGCCGCCGCAGUAA